rnacentral:rRNA from 1 species
GCGAACGCUGGCGGCAUGCCUAACACAUGCAAGUCGCACGGGGGGGCUUCGGCCUCCCAGUGGCGGACGGGUGAGGAACGCGUAGGGACCUGUCGAGGGGUGGGGGAUAACCGCGGGAAACUGCGGCUAAUACCGCAUGACGCCGCGGCGUGACAGCCGGGGCCAAAGGCGAAAGCCGCCCGCCGAGGGGCCUGCGUCCGAUUAGCUGGUUGGCGGGGUAGCGGCCCACCAAGGCGUCGAUCGGUAGCUGGUCUGAGAGGGUGAUCAGCCACACCGGGACUGAGACACGGCCCGGACUCCUACGGGAGGCAGCAGUGGGGAAUAUUGGACAAUGGGCGCAAGCCUGAUCCAGCAAUGCCGCGUGGGUGAAGAAGGUCUUCGGAUUGUAAAGCCCUUUCGGCGGGGACGAUGGUGACGGUACCCGCAGAAGAAGCCCCGGCCAACUUCGUG